rnacentral:lncRNA from 1 species
GCGGAGGGACUGGGGUGAGAGUGAGUCAGGGAGGGACAAGGCUUUCAUCAGUCAUCCCUGGUGGACCCUCCCAAGAAAACCCUAAGGGGUUCCAAGAGCCUCUCAUUGGGGAAGUGUCCACAGUUGGGAGGGUGACGCACCCCGAACUCCACAGAGACUGAAGCUCCUGGAUCCCACCUCUCGCACACCUGGCCCCUACUUCCUCAUCUGCCUGUACAUCCCUUUAGGAUCCACAGCAUCAAGAACAAGUACCCACCUGGAUAAGGGAAGGCUCUGGGACCCAUUCAGGAUGUUAUUGAUGUUUUUGGAGAUGACGUCCAAGAGGAAGAGUUGGCGUUGCAUGGAGAGAUAAUGAGCUGUGUGGUGAUCAGCCCAGGCCUCAGAAGAAGUAGAUAAGGGGCAACCUCAGAGCCCUUCACCCACUGGACGCCACUGAAGUUUGUUACGGACAGGAUCUCUGGAACAGGCACUACACCCCAUUGUGAUGUCCAGACGCCAGCUGGGUUUCCAGGGGCAACGGGGCUGCCCCAGUUCUGAGCCCAGGGGACCCCAGGAGGCAGAUGUGCUCUGGGGCGUGAGAUCCGUUAAGUCUGCCUCAGGAAAGCUGCAUCCUCCACACUGAAACCACACCGGCAUUAGGACGCUCCACUCAGCCUCUGGAAACACCCACCACUGCCUUCUCCUGGAAAGCACCUGCUCUAGUCCCUGGAGACUCGUAUUAGGGCAGAAUCCAACAGAAGAAUUCCGUGGUCAGCAGAGAAAGCCCCAUCUCAGCAUCCAUGGAGCAGGUGCAUCUGAGCACAAGCCUGGUGGACCAGCCGACAAGCCUAAGACGAGGGCACAGGAAGCCUGGGUAUUGCCCACAAACACUCCAUCCAGUUCUUCCAUGGCCUGCCUUGAGGUCUACCAAGCAUUUAAAAGUCACCUUACCUGCCUGGAAAAAUGGCAAAGAUAACUGAUGGGUCAAGCUGAAGGGUGUUUCACCAUCAGCCAGUUUUCUCGAGGUUACACCUCUUGCACGUUUUUGAAAUUUUGAGUCGGAACAUCCAAAGUUGAGUUUGGAGGGAGGAAGGUAAGACUGGAGACCAGGCGCUGCCUCUUUCUGAUGGUGACCCUGGAGGAUAUACAGAGAAACACAGGACAUCAGAGGCACCCUUGCAGCAAAUGAACGGCUUCUGGAGUGUUGAUACCAUCAAGGAUUUCCAGAGUUGCUCGAUGUAUUUAUUGUCCCAGGAGAACCACAGAGCCUGCAAUGGCAGAAUGGAGUAGACAAUUCUGCAUCUCUGAGCUUACUUGGAACCUGUCUUCAAUCAAAUGCGGUGAGACAUCCAAUGAUAACAGGAUCCUUUAGUAGCCACUAAACUUGGCACCAACGUACAUACAUAUCCUGUUAAAAGGCUGCUUCUCUGAGCAAAAUCCUCGGGGCUGCAAGAACUCAGCCUCAGGACAGAAAGCCUACUGGCCUCGAAAAGAAGAGGAACAGCAUUACAAUCAGAAAAACAGGAUUUGAGACCUAAUUCACACCAAUUUAUUGUGCACCUUCAAGAGACAACUCCUGUGUAACAUACCAUGAUAACAGGAAUUCCUCUCAUGCCCAAUUUCCUGGACUUUCCAGCAGAAAACACAAAGGGAGGUAAAAAGAGCCCAUCUUUUGCUAAGUACCUUUUCCUGCGAAUGCAGAUCCUACAAGAGGGAGCUGACAUGGCUUGGGUGGAAUUUCCUCGAUGCUCAAACAAGGAAUUGUCUUACUUGCAAUCAUUGCAACUAACACCCCUGAAACGAAAUGGCCCUUUUUUCCCCUCUGCCUUUUUCAUAAUUAAUGAAUAGUUCUGCCGUCUUAUCCACAACUUAGUUGCCAGCUUGGGAUGGCCGCCAAGGUGAAAAUCAUUCUGCUCUGCUCGGCUCAGCACUAAAUCGUCAAGGCAGAGGUUGAUGUCAAUUGAUACGGGACUGCCUGAAGGAACCAGAUUUGCCUUAGAAAUGUCUCCUGCUUGCUCCAUCCUUGGCUUUGGAAACCAUUCCAGGCUGAUGGUCAACAGACACACCUUUGGGACAUAAAUCCAUGAGUUGGAACGUGCGUGAUGCCCAGUCUCUAUGUGUUGUUUUAAUUAUUUUAUGGUUUUAUUAAGUUUUUUCAUCUUCGGGCUAAAAAAAGAAAAAACAACUACCCAAUCCCACUGCCAAAUUUCCCGGAUAUUUUAAGCACAGACACCGUGGACUCCACUGCUGCAAGGAAUGACAGUGGUCCUGACCCUUUCUGUUGGAAUUUAUGGCAGUGAGUAAACCUGUUCUUCCAGGAAAUGCAUGUUAAUUAUGUUAAAUGCCCUGCUUCAUGGAGAAUGUAAAGAGGUAGAGGGUGUUUAAUUCCUCUUGACAAAAGAUUCCUCUGCAAAAUGGAGCCACGCCUUUAGAACAAGGUCCACAUACAAUAGUCUUCUCACACUUAGCAAAGAUAAUCCUCCUUUAAAUAAAUGUCUUCAGGGCUUUAAGGCCCCCUGUAAGGGUGGGAAAGGUUUCUUCUAUUUUCUUUGUCUCUCGAUUUUUUUAAGAAUGAAAUCGGAGGAAGAACAGCUGAAAGGUGAGGGGGAUGAAUCCCAUUGCAUCAAAGUGGAGAGACACAUUCUCAAAUUGAAUUCUGCACGUUGUUUUUCAUAUUUCCUUUUCUGGUGGAAAAGCUGUAACAUGCGCUAUUUUUUUUCUACAGUCUUAAAAGCCAAACUUUUUCGAAAUGAUGCCCAACCUGGAGUUUCAAAGUUGUGUGUUGGGGGAAGGGUGUGUUUUUUUGUUUUGUUUUGUUUUUUAAUCAUUCAAACGGGUUGAAGCCUUUCUUAAUGCCCAGACCAAAUCAAAACUGACUUAAUGGCCAGACCAAAUUGGUUGUUCAAUUUCGAGGUCUACCAAAACAAAUUGAGUGUGUGUUCCAUUCAGGUCACCGCAGACCUAUUAGGACAGGCAAUCCACUUCUUUAAAAAAAAACCCUUAAUUUCAGCUUUGUGUAGGCUCUGACUUACCCAGAAGCUGCAUCAACUGUCUUUGAUUUCAGGUGUUCUUAGACAAAUUCAAAUUUUCUGUCUUUCAUGGCAACAUUUCUUUGGGCUGUAUAUGGAUUUCUUUGCGGAUAAAUAUGAGAGUAUUUCAACUCACAGUUUUUAGCUAGAAGAUUCUUUGAGAUGGGAUCAUAAGAAAUCCUUUGUCCCCUCCUUCUUAUUGUCCAGAUGAAAAAAUAAUCCCAAGAGAAGUCACGCUUCCAAAUGGUUAUCAUCAGUUAUAUAUUUAUUGAUCUUCAUAGGAAAAUGUCCCACAAAAAUUCCCACAGCAAUGUGGCCGACCCCAGUCAGUUUUGCAAAUAUUAACAUGAAGCUGGGAGUUCCUGUCACGGCUCAGUGGUAAUGAACCUGACUAGUUUCCCCCGAGGAUGCAGGUUCGAUCCCUGGCCUCACUCAGUGGGUUAAGGAUCCAGCAUCACCAUGAGCUUUGGUGUAGGUUGCAGACUCAGCUUGGAUCCCAUGUUUCCGUGGCUGUGGUGUAGGCUGGCAGCGGCAGCUCCAAUUUGACCCCUAGCCUGGGAACUUCCAUAUGCC